AUUGAACGCUGGCGGCAGGCAUAACACAUGCAAGUCGAACGAGUGGCGGACGGGUGAGUAAGGUCUGGGAAACUGCCUGAUGGCAGGGGAUAACUCCUGGAAACGGUAGCUAAUACCGCCUACCAUCGGAUGUGCCCCGAGGGGAUUAGCUAGUAGGUGGGGUAACGGCUCACCUAGGAGACGAUACCUAGCUGGUAUGAGAGGAUGACCAGCCACACUGGAACUGAGACACGGUCGAGACUCCUACGGGAGGCAGCAUUGGGGAAUAUUGCACAAUGGGCGCAAGACUUAUGCAGCCGUGCCGCGUGUAUGAAGAAGGCCUUCGGUUUGUAAAGUACUUUCAGCGGGGAGGCGUUACCCGCAGAAGAAGCACCGGCUAACUCCGGGCCAGCCGCCGCGGUAAUUC
rnacentral:rRNA from 1 species